rnacentral:rRNA from 1 species
AGACGGGUGAGUAACGCGUGGGAAUCUACCCUUUUCUACGGAAUAACGCAGGGAAACUUGUGCUAAUACCGUAUAAGCCCUUCGGGGGAAAGAUUUAUCGGGAAAGGAUGAGCCCGCGUUGGAUUAGCUAGUUGGUGGGGUAAAGGCCUACCAAGGCGACGAUCCAUAGCUGGUCUGAGAGGAUGAUCAGCCACAUUGGGACUGAGACACGGCCCAAACUCCUACGGGAGGCAGCAGUGGGGAAUAUUGGACAAUGGGCGCAAGCCUGAUCCAGCCAUGCCGCGUGAGUGAUGAAGGCCCUAGGGUUGUAAAGCUCUUUCACCGGUGAAGAUAAUGACGGUAACCGGAGAAGAAGCCCCGGCUAACUUCGUGCCAGCAGCCGCGGUAAUACGAAGGGGGCUAGCGUUGUUCGGAAUUACUGGGCGUAAAGCGCACGUAGGCGGACAUUUAAGUCAGGGGUGAAAUCCCAGAGCUCAACUCUGGAACUGCCUUUGAUACUGGGUGUCUAGAGUAUGGAAGAGGUGAGUGGAAUUCCGAGUGU